rnacentral:rRNA from 1 species
UACAGAGGGGGCAAGCGUUGUUCGGAAUUACUGGGCGUAAAGGGCGCGUAGGCGGCCUGCUAAGUCGAACGUGAAAUCCCCGGGCUCAACCCGGGAACUGCGUCCGAUACUGGCAGGCUUGAAUCCGGGAGAGGGAUGUGGAAUUCCAGGUGUGGCGGUGAAAUGCGUAGAUAUCUGGAGGAACACCGGUGGCGAAGGCGGCAUCCUGGACCGGCAUUGACGCUGAGGCGCGAAAGCCAGGGGAGCAAACGG